rnacentral:rRNA from 1 species
UACGAAGGGGGCUAGCGUUGUUCGGAAUUACUGGGCGUAAAGGGCGCGUAGGCGGCCUGUUAAGUCGAACGUGAAAUCCCCGGGCUCAACCCGGGAACUGCGUCCGAUACUGGCAGGCUUGAAUCCGGGAGAGGGAUGCGGAAUUCCAGGUGUAGCGGUGAAAUGCGUAGAUAUCUGGAGGAACACCGGUGGCGAAGGCGCAUCCUGGACCGGCAUUGACGCUGAGGCGCGAAAGCCAGGGGAGCAAAGCGGG